AAGAAACACUCUGGGGCAUAUGACAAAAAGUGUCUUGACAAAAUUUGAGCUUGCUAUAGCACAGAAGUCUAACCUAUUCCAGUGUUCUCCCUUCCAUCAGACAAGCUGUUAUAUAGACUUAAACAAC